UACGAGGGGGGGCAAGCGUUGUUCGGAAUUAUUGGGCGUAAAGGGCGCGUAGGCGGUGCGGUAAGUCACCUGUGAAAACUCUGGGGCUCAACUCAGAGCCUGCAGGCGAAACUGCCGUGCUUGAGUGUGGGAGAGGUGCGUGGAAUUCCCGGUGUAGAGGUGAAAUUCGUAGAUAUCGGGAGGAACACCGGUGGCGAAGGCGGCGACCUGGGUAGAUACUGACGCUGAGGUGCGAAAGCGUGGGGAGCAAACAGG
rnacentral:rRNA from 1 species